rnacentral:rRNA from 1 species
UACAGAGGGUGCGAGCGUUGUCCGGAAUCACUGGCGUAAAGGGCGCGUAGGCGGCUCGGUCAGCGUGCGGUGAAAGCCCGGGGCUCAACCCCGGGUCGGCCGUGCGAACUGCUGGGCUGGAGCACUGUAGAGGCAGGUGGAAUUCCGGGUGUAGCGGUGGAAUGCGUAGAGAUCCGGAAGAACACCGGUGGCGAAGGCGGC